UGGGAAUUUGAUCUUCAAGUCGUCAUAGUUCUCCCAAGUGGCAUCUUCUAUUGGUAGGUUCGCCCACUGUAUUAGUACUUCAUUAGUGGGUCGUCGUCGUCGAGUCACGAUCCGUCGAUCAAUAAUGGCACUUGGCUGGGUCUGGAGUUCUCUUUGGGUAGUCAUAUUUGGUGGGUGGCUUUGGGCUAUCUCCAAGCACUUGUUUAAAACUUCCGGCUGGCUGUUGGUUUGU
rnacentral:lncRNA from 1 species